rnacentral:tRNA from 1 species
GUUUUCUUAGUAUAAUUAGUACAAGUGACUUCCAAUCACUCAGUCUUGGUUCAACCCCAGGAGAAAAUA